rnacentral:lncRNA from 1 species
UCACUCAAGGAUCUAGUCCCUAAUCAAAUCAGUACCACUUGUUGUUCAUAAAAAUAACCAUUCAGUAAAAAUUAAUAAUUGUGCCACAUCAUUCUCCCGCCCAUUCUAAAAGUUUUUUCAUGUACAAACUCGACGGACGCGUCUUUUAAACACAUUGUUCCCUUUAAUCUCAACCGUUCCUUUGAAACCUAUAUAAAAUU